rnacentral:miRNA from 1 species
AACAUCUUCUUACCAAAAAGUGCAAAGGUAAGGAGAUACGUUCUGCGCAUGCGCAGACCUAUCUCCUUAAAUACGCAUAAUUUGUUAAAAGGAUAUUAAGCAAAGUUGUAGCCCUCAUCAAGACGAACAACUUUUGUUAACAUCUUCUUACCAAAAAGUGCAAAGGUAAGGAGAUACGUUCUGCGCAUGCGCAGCGCUAUCUCCUUAAAUACGCAUAAUUUGUUAAAACGAUAUU